rnacentral:rRNA from 1 species
AGAGUUUGAUCAUGGCUCAGAACGAACGCUGGCGGCAGGCCUAACACAUGCAAGUCGAGCGCGCCCUUCGGGGUGAGCGGCGGACGGGUUAGUAACGCGUGGGAACGUACCCUUUUGGUAGGGAAUAGCCACUGGAAACGGUGAGUAAUACCCUAUGAGCCCUUCGGGGGGAAAGAUUUAUCGCCAAAGGAUCGGCCCGCGUUAGAUUAGGUAGUUGGUGGGGUAAUGGCCUACCAAGCCUACGAUCUAUAGCUGGUUUUAGAGGAUGAUCAGCAACACUGGGACUGAGACACGGCCCAGACUCCUACGGGAGGCAGCAGUGGGGAAUCUUGGACAAUGGGGGCAAACCCCUGAUCCAGCCAUGCCGCGUGAGUGAAGAAGGCCUUAGGGUCGUAAAGCUCUUUCGCCUGUGAAGAUAAUGACGGUAGCAGGUAAAGAAACCCCGGCUAACCCCGUGCCAGCCGCCGC